CAAACCAAGCAGGAGAUAAAAAAAGCAUAGAAAGUCAUGGAUUUUGUUAUUGCUGUAACUGGAACAAGCCUUAUGAUCCAUUGGUUGGGGGAAUAACCCAAUAACAUCAGGAAUGAAUCAGCUACAUUACAGAAAACAAAUAAUCUGUCUGAAAGAUCCCAUUGUUGCCCAUUCUUUUCUGGAAGUGAGCAGCUGCUGUAGUACACUUGAAUAGUGAAACAGGAGCGGUACGCUAGAUGGUCUUUUAGAUUUCCAUAGGUAUGACAUCAUACUGGUUACCUGGAAACAAGGUUGCUUUGAAUAAUCUAUAAGCAUUAUGUGUUCCUGAGAGGAAGCACAUGGAUUUUUUUGUGUAAUCUUUCUCUUCAAAAGCCUUCUGAUGUCUUCAGAUUGCAGUGAACACCCAAAAGCAAAACUAGUCAUUUUAAAAAAGAAUUCUAGGAAUCUGUAUUUACAAGUAUAUUCAAGAGGAACCAUAAGAAAUGGCUGCUGAAGAAAAUGCAGGAGCAUAUGAGGAAUUUGAUGAGGCAGCUGAGGGAGAACCAUCCCCAGAUGAGGCGCUUCUUAGUAAGGAGACAGGAGGGACUGCAACUUCCCAAGGUGCUAAAAGCCCACAAACACAAAGUGCAUUGAGCUGUGGUUGCCUUCUGUGGAGUUUCAUCUGGUUGACUAUCUUAAUUGCUUUUGCUUGGCCCUUCAGUAUGGCUAUGGCAGCCCUCUAUGGAUUUGUGUCGCCCAUGAUUUCUCUAGUAGGACUUGAAGAUAUGAGUGAUUCUAUGCUGCAGGCAGUGCAUGUGGGAAGAGAGUGUGCUCGGAACGCCAGAACAGGCAGACCCCUGAUUUGAAGAAAAAUAUCUCACAUUUAGCAUUCCAUUACUACAGAAGUCUCCUUCCUUUACAUGUAUGUAUUGUUAAUUAUCAUCUGUAUCUCAUCUUUUCACUAUAUGCAU